GGAUCCUGCUCACUGCCCUGUCUAACACUGUUUGAUGCUGUGAGGCAUCAGCUACACUUGUUUGUUUGUUGUCGCUGUAACUAUAUUGUGUAAAUGGAGAUAGCUCUCGGCGUGACACAGCGAAAGCGGAUUUGAUGGGACUGGGAGCGCGCGCGCUGGCAAGCAGAGCCAUGCUCGAGGUGACACCACUUCAGAACACCCAUCCCUGUAGACCAAACACACUUUUCAAUGUCUCCAGGAAGAUCCAGAAGACAGAAAUUUAACUUUCAAUGACACCUUUCACUGCCUCACCACAUCAAAAAUUGAUUCCAAGCCAAGGAAAGACUUUUGGAGAGUAGUCGACAUUAUAAUAGAGAAAUGUGAAUGAAGAAGAUAGAACAGAUACCCAACAGCGUAUGUAUCUCACUUAGCACCAAGUCAGGGCUUACAGGAUGGCUGAAAGCUACUUUGCAUAUGAGUUACAACUCUGCUUAGUGACUUCAAUGUGUUGACAUCAACAAAUGUCAAGAAAGUAGCAUUUUUAUAACUUGUACCCUUAUGUCAAUCCUUACUACACCAUGGAUCUACACCAAUCUAACCUACAUACUAUUGAAUUCCAAUCACUGGGGCAAUGCACUGAAAAUCAAGAUCUGCUAUUCCUGCAGUUAUAUGAAAAAUUAAUACAACUAUUGAAACUUCCAAUUUGGCUCUAACUAACUGUUCCCCUGGAUAAGAGCUAAUCACCACUAUGUUUUUCAGUAACAGUAAAACUAUAUUUAUUGUAAUGCUCUUAACUUUAACAAAAAGAAGAAAAGAGCGGAAUUUCUAAUUUAUAUGAGAAAAUCCAGCACAAGGAGUCAUAGUUUAAAAAUAAGCAGUCACUCUUUUUGAACAGAAGUGAGGAAAUAUUUUUCACUUAGAAGUUUGAGAGUCUUUGGAAUUCUCUGCUCCAAAAGGCAGUGGUAGCAGAAUCUUUAAGUAUUUUAGUGGCAGAUUUGUGAUUACCAAGAGGAUGAACAUAAGGCAUAUAUGAGAAUGUAGAUUUGAGCUUAAAGUCAGAUCAGCCAUGAUCAUCUUGAGUGGUGGAGCUGGCUGCAAGGGCUGAGUGGCUUACUCUAGUUCCUUUCUAUGUCUUCAUAUUGUGAGUGGAAGGAACAAAAUUAGGCAGAGGAACACAGUUCUGCAUCACUAGUCCAAAAUCAAAAACUACUAGAUGGGCGGGUUUCACAGUCUGCAAUUCGAUGAUCUAUCUGCAGUUCACUGGUUGAGUGAAUGAAUCUGUGUGUUUAAGAGUCAUUUCUUUCAGCAUCUCUGAAGGUAGUUUGUUCUGUUGGUUUGACAAAAAAUUUGCAUAUAGAAACUUUACUGAGAAUGGGGAAAGAGAAAAAAUUAAUGCAGCUCAUUUCAGGAGAUCUCCUUGCUUCACUCUGUCUGAUUCACUCCCUUCGCAGAAUCAGUAAUAAACUCCAAUCUGACCAAUGGGAAGCUUGUUGCUAUAAUGAGCUCUCCUGAACCUGUAACCAAUGGUGCUAAUUGAAAAGCUAAUAAAAUCAACUGUCUCAGGGCCGUGCACACACACACAAGUGGUGCUAUUUUGUUGAAGACAAUGUUCCCAAAAAAUAACAUUGGUACAUUUUCACUAAUGAGCUUCACUUGUUUUGCCAAAGCUGUAAACACAUCCCCGCAUUGACCCCUUUUUAUAAUUGUGUCCUUUUUCUUAUUUUCAGCCUCUCGUUCAAGAAUAAAAAAAAAGUGAGUUUGAGUCUGCAACUAUUACAUUUAUUGCUAGAUUAAAACUUGUUGUGACCACAUAAAUUGUUCAGAUACAUUGUUGUCUUCAUGAUUUGGAGAUGCUGGUGUUGGACUGGGGGUGUAUGAAGUUAAAAAUCACACACCACCAGGUUAU